rnacentral:lncRNA from 1 species
CUCAUGCUGUAACCUGGUUAAGUAGGUUGGUUUUGGCAGAAUGCACUUGGGAAGCCUCUUCGUGAUGUCUGUACUUAAUCAGUUCAAUAGAAGUAGAAUAUAAUGUCUAUUUCAAGAUGAGUUUUACUAAGACAGCAUUAUGGGAACCACAUGUUAUAAUUGAUUUUCUUUAUGACAAAAGCCACACGGACAAGGUAAUUUCUUGCAGGGGUGACUAUACUGGAGAAACCAAGCCAAGGUGACACCUGCUGCUUCCCUGAUUGAUCGCGGGGAUAGAUCCUUGUUGUAGCUGUGUGCGUUCUGGAUAGGCACUGUGAUUGCUUAACAUAAACACGUAUCGUGAACCUCACAUUUCUGUCAGAGUUAUCGCGAUAAACUUUUGACCGACUCAAGACGUCAGACCUCGAUGGACAGAAACACCGCUGGAGGCAGUGGUGCCGCAGAUUUAAGGCUUGUUUGUUAAAACUCUGGUUGAUAACGCGAAGGACGGAGGUGGGUGGGCUGGGCAUGCCAUGUGAGACAGUCUGCACAGAGACUGUAUGCAGAACACAAGAGACACACGCUCGGGGAUUUGAUACAGGCAUGCGGAAGCACAGCGGCACGCGUUGGUGUCUGCAGAAUAUUGCACAAGAAUCUGUGGACAGCUCUGAUGAGGAAUUUUCGACGCAAGAGGUGAGUCUAUGCAUGCCCAGAUAAAUGGAGAGGAUUGUGAG